GUGGGCCUACGGGACGCAGCAGUGGGGAAUAUUGCACAAUGGGCGAAAGCCUGAUGCAGCAACGCCGCGUGAAGGAAGAAGGUCUUCGGAUCGUAAACUUCUGUCCUUGGGGAAGAUAAUGACGGUACCCUUGGAGGAAGCCCCGGCUAACUACGUGCCAGCAGCCGCGGUAAUAUGUAGGGGGCAAGCGUUAUCCGGAAUUAUUGGGCGUCAAGAGUGCGUAGGUGGUUACUUAAGCGCGGGGUUUAAGGCAAUGGCUCAACCAUUGUUCGCCCUGCGAACUGGGUUACUUCAGU
rnacentral:rRNA from 1 species